UCAAUUCCGUAGUGCAUUGCAGUGUUUGAUGUAGAUCUGCAAGCAGUGCGGAAGUGAGG
rnacentral:pre_miRNA from 1 species